GUACGAAGUUAAACUCCCAACCCCUGUGAACAUACCACUUGUUGCCUCGGCGGAUCAGCCCGCUCCCGGUAAAACGGGACGGCCCGCCAGAGGACCCCUAAACUCUGUUUCUAUAUGUAACUUCUGAGUAAAACCAUAAAUAAAUCAAAACUUUCAACAACGGAUCUCUUGGUUCUGGCAUCGAUGAAGAACGCAGCAAAAUGCGAUAAGUAAUGUGAAUUGCAGAAUUCAGUGAAUCAUCGAAUCUUUGAACGCACAUUGCGCCCGCCAGUAUUCUGGCGGGCAUGCCUGUUCGAGCGUCAUUUCAACCCUCAAGCACAGCUUGGUGUUGGGACUCGCGUUAAUUCGCGUUCCUCAAAUUGAUUGGCGGUCACGUCGAGCUUCCAUAGCGUAGUAGUAAAACCCUCGUUACUGGUAAUCGUCGCGGCCACGCCGUUAAACCCCAACUUCGAAUGUUGACCUCGGAUCAGGUAGGAAUACCCGCUGAACUUAAGCAUAUCAAAA
rnacentral:rRNA from 1 species